AUCACUUCUCAGCCUUUUGGUUAAGAUCAAGUGUAGUAUCUGUUCUCAUUGGCUUAAUAUCUGGUACAUUCUCUAUUUGAGGACAAUGUAUUAAAUGCAUUUUUAGAAUUAGGGGACAGAAUGGGGGCUUGCUCCGUUCACUCCAUGCAUAGACUUGGUAUUGCAGUACUUACAGGAAUGCUGCACCAGAA